CCUACGGGUGGCAGCAGUGAGGAAUAUUGGUCAAUGGGCGCGAGCCUGAACCAGCCAAGUAGCGUGAAGGAUGACUGCCCUCCGGGUUGUAAACUUCUUUUAUAAAGGAAUAAAACGAGGCACGUGUGCCUUUUUCCAUGUCCUUUAUGAAUCAGGCUCGGCUAACUCCGCGCCAGCAGCCGCGGUAAUACGGAGGGUCCGAGCGUUAUCCGGAUUUAUUGGGUUUAAAGGGAGAGUAGAUGGGUUGUUAAGUCAGUUGUGAAAGUUUGCGGCUCAACCGUAAAAUUGCAAUUGAUACUGGCAGGCUUGAGUACAGUUGAGGGAGGCGGAAUUCGUGGUGUAGCGGUGAAAUGCUUAGAUAUCACGAAGAACCCCGAUGGCGAAGGCAGCUUACUAAACUGUGACUGACAUUGAUGCUCGAAAGUGUGGGGAGCAAACAGGAUUAGAUACCCCUGUAGUC
rnacentral:rRNA from 1 species